UACGAAGGGUGCAAACGUUUGCUCGGAAUUAUUGGGCGGUAAAGCGCACGUAGGCGGCUUUGCAAGUCCCAUGUGAAAGCCCACGGCUUAACCGUGGAAGUGCAUGGGAAACUGCAGAGCUUGAGUACUUAAGAGGAUGCGGAAUUCCCGGUGUAGAGGUGAAAUUCGUAGAUAUCGGGAGGAACACCAGUGGCGAAGGCGGCGAUCUGGGAAGAUACUGACGCUGAUGCGCGAAAAGCGU
rnacentral:rRNA from 1 species